rnacentral:piRNA from 1 species
UGGCCAGUAGGUGUGUGACCAAUUUCCUAA